UAGGGAAUCUUCGGCAAUGGGGGCAACCCUGACCGAGCAACGCCGCGUGAGUGAAGAAGGUUUUCGGAUCGUAAAGCUCUGUUGUAGGUCAAGAACGGGUGUGAGAGUGGAAAGUUCACACUGUGACGGUAGCUUACCAGAAAGGGACGGCUAACUACGUGCCAGCAGCCGCGGUAAUACGUAGGUCCCCGAGCGUUGUCCGGAUUUAUUGGGCGUAAAGCGAGCGCAGGCGGUUUGAUAAGUCUU
rnacentral:rRNA from 1 species